AUGAAUUUAGAGGUCUCCAUACCGAGCCUGAAAGGUGAGGAACGACCGCUAACGACCCACAACGACCCACCCUCCCAACCUAAUGCCGGUUCUACUCCGCCUGUCCACUCUGGGGAGUUGUGCUUUGACUUGGAAGCCCUCGGAUUGAAGGAUGGGCCCAAGACCCUCACAGGUGAAGCCUCAGAUGGGUCGUGGACCCUUGUGGGUGAAGCUCGGCGGUUUCCGAGUCCAUGUGGGUUGGCCCCUGCGGAGCCUGGAGCCUUCUUGCCUGCGGGCUUGCUGAUCCCGCGGAGCCAGCCAGCUCCCUUCCUGCUUCUGAUGCGCCAGUCCAAGAAGCUGGGACGGCUGCUGGGAACCCAGCGCCGUCCUCUCGCUUCCUGUGAUCUAUCAGUCCUGCUCUCCGCGGAAGCUCGGCCUGGCGCACCUCAGGCCCGCAGCAGAACCAAGGCUUGGCGGCAGCUGCAACCUCCACAGACGGCAGCUGCAACCUCCAUAGACGGCCGCCAGGUGGCGCCGUACCGGGGCCCGAGAGCAGGCAGGCCCGGGGCGGGGUGGGAGCGACUCAAAGCUACGUGCCUGGGGAGGCCGCGGGCCCUCGCGGACUGCGGAACUUGCAUCCUGCCGCCGGAUUUUCACAUCUGCCGGCCCAGAGGAAACAAUGACGUUGGGGUUUUGGGGGACUGCCCCUUGACUCGGGCGAAUCAGACACGAACGGCCGAUCCCUUGCCCUCUUCCAUCCGCCUGCCGCUGCUCCCACCUACCGACUCCUAGAGCUUAUUUGUCGCUCCUGCAGCCUCCAGGAAUGCAAAUAAUUUCUCACUGGGUUUUGGUGAGGGCGGAGCUGCGGAGAAGCACGCGCCCAACAGCUUUCGCCGCAGCUGGGUUCCCGGGCGCCGGCGGCUGCGGCCCUCAGAUGGGUGGGGGCGGAGGCUGCAAUAUGCACAGGCGGCCACAGUGUGGCGCAAGCGCCCUGCCGUGGGACAUGCUCGGCGCGCGACGCUCCAACCCAUCAUUCACGGGUCAAAUAAUCUAGAAUCAAGUUGCUACGUGUGUCAUACUCCUCCUGUUUUUUCCCUAAACUUUUAGUAGAGUCAUUUACAUAGUUCAGUUUUUAUCUCAGCUAUGUUACAGAGUGGCAGGAAAAUAUUUUGUCUCCAAAUUACAGCCCAAGUGUGAGCAGCGUAGCCUGAAGCUAGUUAGUAGUCAACCAGAAAAUCAGGAAGGUAAAGCAAACCUCUGGAGGCAAGGUCUGGACUC